rnacentral:rRNA from 1 species
UACCAUGCAGUCGAGCGGUAAGGCCUUUCGGGGUACACGAGCGGCGAACGGGUGAGUAACACGUGGGUGAUCUGCCCUGCACUUCGGGAUAAGCCUGGGAAACUGGGUCUAAUACCGGAUAUGACCUCCGGUUGCAUGACUGGGGGUGGAAAGAUUUAUCGGUGCAGGAUGGGCCCGCGGCCUAUCAGCUUGUUGGUGGGGUAAUGGCCUACCAAGGCGACGACGGGUAGCCGACCUGAGAGGGUGACCGGCCACACUGGGACUGAGACACGGCCCAGACUCCUACGGGAGGCAGCAGUGGGGAAUAUUGCACAAUGGGCGAAAGCCUGAUGCAGCGACGCCGCGUGAGGGAUGACGGCCUUCGGGUUGUAAACCUCUUUCAACAGGGACGAAGCGCAA